AUAAUGGCUGAUCUCUUAGGAUACGCCAGAAUGUUUCAGCUCACUACCUGCUACUGAGCAACAUCAGAGAAGCAGGUAGCUCUGCCUGGAGGCUGCCAUCCCCUCACAGAUACUUAAUUAAAAGCAGAAAUGGCAAGACGAUAUCAGAGGCCUCGCAGCAGAGGACGCUCCCGGCGGAGGCGAAGAAGCAAAGGCAGGAGACAAAGAAGAAGGCAAAGGAGGAGGACAAGGACAAGAGGCAAGAGAUACCAUUGCAGAAGACGAGUGGUUUACUGAGAUCCAGCCUCCUCUGCCAAGCGUUGCAGCAUCAACUGCCUGACAAACAAUUCUGCUUUCUGGGAAGCCUGGAAUAGGAGCAGCCAGUUAACACACAAUAAACGGGCCUGGAUGCAA